ACGGGAGGCAGCAGUAGGGAAUAUUGCACAAUGGGGGGAACCCUGAUGCAGCAACGCCACGUGUGGGAAGAAGCAUUUCGGUGUGUAAACCACUGUCGUGAGGGAAUAAUGCUUGGUCUCGGCCAAGUUGAAUGUACCUCGAAAGGAAGCACCGGCAAACGUCGUGCCAGCAGCCGCGGUAAUACGAGGGGUGCAAGCGUUGUUCGGAAUCACUGGGCGUAAAGGGAGCGUAGGCGGAGACGCAAGCAGUCUGUACAAUACCGGGGCCCAACCCCGGACCUGCAGACUGGACUGUGUCCCUUGGAUAGUUCAGGGGCAGGCGGAAUUCCUGGUGUAGCGGUGGAAUGCGUAGAGAUCAGGAAGAACACCGAUGGCGAAGGCAGCCAGCUGGGGGCUUAUCGACGCUCAUGCUCGAAAGUGCGGGUAGCAAACAGGAUUAGAUACCCUGGUA
rnacentral:rRNA from 1 species